rnacentral:rRNA from 1 species
ACGGAAGGCAGCAGUGGGGAAUAUUGCACAAUGGGGGAAACCCUGAUGCAGCGACGCCGCGUGAGUGAAGAAGUUAUUCGUAAUGUAAAGCUCUAUCAGCAGGGAAGAAAAUGACGGUACCUGACUAAGAAGCCCCGGCUAACUACGUGCCAGCAGCCGCGGUAAUACGUAGGGGGCAAGCGUUAUCCGGAUUUACUGGGUGUAAAGGGAGCGUAGACGGCUUAGCAAGUCUGAUGUGAAAGGCAGGGGCUCAACUCUUGGACUGCAUUGGAAACUGUUAAGCUAGAGUGCCGGAGAGGUAAGCGGAAUUCCUAGUGUAGCGGUGAAAUGCGUAGAUAUUAGGAGGAACACCAGUGGCGAAGGCGGCUUACUGGACGGUAACUGACGUUGAGGCUCGAAAGCGUGGGGAGCAAACAGGAUUAGAUACCCUGGUA